rnacentral:lncRNA from 1 species
GGAACAUACAAGCUAGAAGUACCACAUGUUGAUGGGGUUGAUUGUGUAGAUGGUUCAGCAAUUGAAUCUGUUUGCCAAGCAAGUUUGAUAAGCAGCUCAACUCCAGCCUGUAAUGUUCUUGGAUCAAAGACAACAACUGAUCAAAUAUCAAUCAAAUCCAAGCAAGAUAAUCACUGUAUUUACAGCUUGAAUGCAUUGAGUUACAAGCCAGCUAAAACAAAUGCUACCUUGUGUGGAAAUCACAAUGAAGAAGAGUUGCUAAGUUCCUUCAAUUCCUCAAAAUGCUUUCUCCCUUACUUCCCACCUUUCCCUUGGCCAUAUCCUCUGCCCCAAUUUCCUCCACUGCCUCCAUUACCUUUCCCUCCUUUACCACCAUACUCAUCACUACCUUUUCCUCCAUUACCACCACUUCCAUCUUUCCCAUUUCCUCCCUUUCCAUUUCCAUACUCAUCACCACCUUCUUUGCCUUUCCCAUUCCCACCUCUUCCACCAACACCAUCUUUCUUUCAGCCACCGCCUCCGCCAGCUUUUAAUCUAGGUGAUCCAAGAACUUGGAUACCUCAUAUUCCUUCAUUAUCAUUACCUCCUCCACCUCCACCUCCACCAGCUUUUAAUCUAGGUGAUCCAAGGACUUGGAUACCUCAUAUUCCUUCAUUAUCAUCACCUCCUCCUCCACCUGCAUUUAAUCUAAGAGAUCCAAGAACCUGGAUACCGUACCUCCCUCCAUCUCCACCCAAUAGCCCUCAGAAUCAAAACCCAUAAUAGGUUUGCUCAAGUUAUUUCAAAAUUGGUGUGUUUAAUAUGUCAUUAUUUAUAAAUUACAUGAGCUUU